UAAGAAGGAAGAAGCAUGAAAUAGUGUUGUACGACUGUUUAAUUAAAACAAAGCACUUUGCAUAAAGACUUAAAGUCUAAGUAUAGAGUGUGAUUUCUGCCCGGUGCCGGCUGGCUAACGAAAAUAACUAACUUUAAAAGGUUUGGUACUGUAGGAACCCCCGGUUAAUGGCGGCCUUAACGUGAGGGUCCUAAGGUAGCGGAAUACCUUGACUGUUAAAUGCAGUCUUUGCAUGAAUGAUGUAACGAUACAACAGCUGUCUCUAUGAUUGACUCAGUGAAAUUGGCAUAACUGUGCAGAUACAGUUUACCUCUAGUUAGACGAGAAGACCCUAUGCAGCUUUACUGUUACUAAUUAUUAGGUAUGGUUGGGGACAAAUUUUAGUAAAUAAGGUAAUUGAUAAGAUACAAAUGUAAUACCUUUAUUUGGGGAUCGUAUUGUAUGGGUUAAUUAA